CGAGAUAGCGUGUGAACUGGAGA
rnacentral:miRNA from 1 species